rnacentral:rRNA from 1 species
UUUGGUGGCGAAAGAGAAGAGGUCACACCCGUUCCCAUGCCGAACACGGAAGUUAAGCUCUUCAGCGCCGAUGGUAGUCGGGG